UAAAGAUGAACACAAAAUGGAUAAAAAUACAAUGUCCUUGCCAAGAAGAUUACAUAGAUUGUGGAUAUUAUGUGAUGAGAUUCAUGAAGGAGAUAAUCUCACACAAGCGACUUCAAAUUCCUGAAGAAUACUUUUCAGAUUGUCAGUUUCCAAGUUAUGACACGGAGCAGAUUGACGAAGUAAGAGUUGAGUGGGUGCGCCAUGUUGUUCAACAAAUGUAUAAUGGCUAGGUUACGUUGAAUGAACCAACAAACAUACAACUUUAUUAAUUAAUGUAUUUUGCGUAGUUUAAUGUUUAGAAUUUUAUUUGUGACCUAUGUAAUCUGUUUUAUUAGGAUGACUUGUAAAAAUUCUUUCCAUUGAGGUUUGGGAAUUAAUAUUCAACUAUUCACUACUCUUCAAUAUAUGGUUUUAUUUUGCGGAAAAAAAUGAA